GUGGAGGAAUCACAUACCUAUUGUCCGUUUCAAACAAGCACUAACCUUAUACCUACACGUAUAAUUAUACGUAAUACAAUUAUACCUACAAUCAUCAUAUUCAACUAGCAGUCGGUCCCGGCUUCGCUCGAGUAAAACCACAGAUUACAAUUACGAGUACAUGCCAGACUGAACGCAAGUUAGCGACCCUGACAUUUAUUGACGAUGCAAUCAGACGUGGCACCCCUAUACUGCGUCUAUGGUCCAGUAGCUUGUGACUACGUGGUUAGAUGAUUCCCGUGCUACACGCUAUUGGCGAACUCAGACAGAUGCCGAAGCGAAUCAACGUACAUUGCGUUGUUUAGACCUUACGUGGGUCAACCCAGGCCGUCGUCCAAUAAAGCGCCAUAAAUACUGCUGAAAAGAUGUGGUUCUCAAAAAUAUACGGAGCCUUGGAGUUGACGGCUGGCGAGAAUCGAUACAAGGUGGUACAA